UGUAUUCACAAGUAUUUAUGGCAGUAUUACUAUAGCUUUAUUUUGUGGAGCUUUCCACUAUAGAAGCCAACUGGCUGAGCCACUCAGGUAUAAAUGGCAUCUAUGAAGAGAGCAGCAGAGCACACUGACAUGGUACUACGGACCUAUGAUGUCUGUGAUGUUAGAUUUCAUCUUAAAACCAAUUGGCAUUAAGUGAAGUUGCACAACAGACAGAUAUAUAAGCUGCACUCCAAGGAUUGAGGCAGCCGAUGUGAGACUUGGGUAUUUUCCCAAUACACCCCUUUCACGCCCAGCACUUAUUGGGCUUGGUGCGUGAACCACAAAUCGUGGGUGCUUGUCGCAGCGGAGGCGAAUGCGAGGUCCCAGGGUUAGAGUCUGCUCUGAUACCAUGUUAGAUUUCAUCUUAAAACCAAUUGACAUUAAGUGAAGUUGCCCAACAAAUAUAUAAGCUACACUCCAAGAAUUGAGGCAGCCGAUGUGAGACUUGGGUAUUUUCCCAAUAUGUGAAAUAGAACUGAUGUAUGAAUAGAUGGUUACCUGAUGUUAUAGAUAGACAUGAAUAUUUUAUCUUGUUUUCUUACAUGGGUUUUAGACAACAUACAUUGACACAAAUACAACCAAGGAUUGUUCAAAUCAUUGAUAAAUUUAUAAAUUUCUGGUUUGCACCUAAAAUAUAUUGUGCAAGCUCUAUAUUGUGUUUUACAUGUUUUUUGUUUUGCUUAAAAUUGGGUGUUCGAUUUACAUCUCCUUUUAGCCGAUAAUGCUUUGCUUGGUUUAAAUGUUUUGGGUGUCAUGGUGUUUCCUUUGAUUUUAUUUAUUUAUUAUCAUGUAAUACAUAUUUUGAGGGUAGAGGUAGUGAGGUACUACUAUGGGACCUUACUUGAGCUUAGGAGAAGGAAUCCUCAUGCCAACAUAGGGAACUAGAACGUGCUUGUUUGGAUUCCAGUUGUAGUUGCGGUGGUGCACGUUUCGAGGUGAAACGCUGUUUGGAGGAUGCCACCGGAUUUUUUUUUUGCCCAUUAAAUUAUUAUUUUUUAAUCUCUAAUGUGAAGUAAGUCACGUGUAAUUUUUACUGUAAAUCGUGUUUUUGGUAAAUCUUUUGGGCAUUAUACACUAGUGGCAUCUAUGUGAUUUUAACUUUAAAUUAAUUUAAAUCAAAUGAGAAAAUUAAGUGUGGUGUAAUUUUAUUUGGUUUAAAUUAUUUAUAAAUUUGAACUAAAUUAAAUUAAUCUUUUGUAGUUUAAUUUGAUCAGAUUUUUACAAUUUAAAAAUUCUGUUAGUAAAUAUUAAAAAAUUGUUUAAAAAAUUUGUUAUUAAUUUGAUAAAACUUAAAUAAUACCUAGUUUAAUAAUCAAUGGUAUAAAUGGACAACAAAAGUUUGAACAAUUGAACUCAAAGUAAAACAAUAAUUAUUUUCAAGUUGAAUAAUAAUCAUUUAACUUAAAAGUAAAAGUAAUACAUAAUACUUACUUAUAAGUUUCAACAAUUGAACUUAAAAAAAGUAAUAAAACAACAUUCAUAGUACUUAUUUUCAACCAUGAAAACUUUGAAAGUAGAUAUCUAACACCAAAGCAAUAAUUGCAACAAUAGUUUCUAGGGGUGUUCGCAAUGCGGUUUAAUUUGGUUCGAUUUUUUAGCAUCAAACCACAAAUUGAAUCAAACCGCAUGGUUUGAAAAAUAAAAAAAUCAAACCAAAAUAAUGACCAUCAAUUUUGUUUCGAUUUUCAAUUUUUUAGGUCAAUUUUUUGUUAUUCUUGAUUUGAUUUGGUUUUGAACAUCUCUAUGAUACAAAUAGUUGUUUCUCAUUAAUGAAAAAAAUUGACGUGUUGAUUAGAAAUGACUAUCUAAAUAUAUAUAUAUAUAUAUCAAUAGGUAGUAAAAGGCAUUCUUUGAAUCUCUGAUUAUAUGUUGGUUUUAUUCCAAUUAAUUUUGAAUUAUAUUUUAGUUAAUCAAUUUUUGUGUUGCAUUAAGAAUUCAAUGUAAGCUUCAUUAUUUAUGAUGAAAAAGUUUAUUUAAAGAUCAAACUCAACAAUGAUGCAUACUUCGACGACCAAACAAAAACUUAAAAUUAGUCAUUACUCUAAUAGGAGGUCAACCAAUUAAGACCUAAGCAAUUCAACAAGUAAAUAUAAACUUAAGUGUGAUCCUCACUCUUGUUAGAGGUAAACCAAUCAAGACUUGAGUAAUUGAACAAGCAAAUAAAGUUCUAGGUGUUACUUUCAUUUCAACAAGAAUCUAUUAAGAGAAGUGAACAAAUCACAUCUAAGGAAACUUUUUCUUGUUUUUUUUUUUCCUUUUUUCUUUUUAAACUUGAGUUUGAUGGGUUGUGGACCAAUGUUAUAAUAAUCAUAUCAAUCAUCGCCUUGGUCAAUUAUUGGAAUUAAUGGUCACUAGUUGAACUAGUAAAUUAGUGGUUAAAUUUUGUGUGGAAUACAUGUAUGUAUGGCUAGUAAAAUGGUUUCUCCAUCAUUUUGUCUAUUGCUUUGUCUAAUAUUACAAGGAAUUUUUUCUUCUUCCAUUUUUAUUUUAUUUUUAUGAACACAAAUGAUUCAAUCAGUUAAAUAUGUGUCUAAGUCAUUAGUAUUUUAAAAAAACAACUAAGUUAUAUCAAUCCAUACUUCAAUUGAAUACACAACUUAUCUGUAAAGGUUCUUGGACUAAUUAUAUAAUUAAUUUUUAGUUUCAUCACCUCGUCAGAGUUGAGUUUUAUAAUAUUAUUAUGCAUCGUUUAAAGUUCUUAGUCCAUCAUGAGUCGAUCUUGUAUUAAGCCAACCUUAGAUGCAUUGUGGGUAUGAGCUCCACUUCAUAAGUUGACCUUGUAUUAUGCUAACCUAAAGUCCUUCAAAUUACUUGACAUUGUAAUAGGUGAACCUUAAAUCUAUCACAAGUCGAAUUUGUAUUAUUGGCCAACUACUUACCUUGGUAGACCUUAGGUCCUUUGCAGGUAAAGUUUUGAAUAGACUGACCUUGUAGGCUUGUACUAAUCACACAACACCUACUUAGGCUCGAAUACUUAUUUCCCAAAUAAAAAAUCACCCACAAAAUAUUCUUUCGAGCACAAUCUUCAUUUUUAAAAUUAUUAAAAAAUUAUAAACUUUAGAGUUGACCAUUUUUAAUAAAACUUACUAGUAAGUAGCAAUAAAGUGCAUAUUAUUUAAUUUAGUAACGUUUAUUCAAUUUUUUGAGGCCAUGAAAAAUCUGAGUAAUCAAUGAGGCGAGAUGUAACGUAGUAACGGGGAAAGAAAGAGCCAUUCUCCGUUGUCACUUUUCACUAUCACCCACUCCAAACCCUUCGUCGAUCUCAGAUCUUCCACAAUGACAACUCCGACGCCGCUGAAGGCCGUGACGCUAACCCACGUGCGCUACCAAAGAGGCGACGGCGUGGGCCAUUUCCUGGCCUGGAUAUCCCUCGUCCCCGUCUUCAUCUCUCUGGGUGGCUUCGUCUCGCACUUCAUCUUCCGCCGCGAGCUCCAAGGCAUCUUCUUCGCCCUCGGCCUUAUCGUCUCCCAAUUCAUCAACGAAGUCAUCAAAACCUCCGUCCAGCAAGCCCGCCCCGCCACCUGCGCGCUCCUCGAGAUGUGCGACUCUCACGGCUGGCCCUCCAGUCACUGCCAGUACAUGUUCUUCUUCGCCACCUAUCUCACCCUCCUCUCCCUCAGGGGCCUCUCCUUCUGGCACGUGCGCGAUAAUCCCCUCCUCCACGCCCUCACGUGGUCCCUCGCGGUUCUCACUAUGUAUUCUCGGGUUUACUUGGGCUACCAUACGGUUGCGCAGGUGUUCGCCGGAACCGCGCUUGGGGUUUUUCUCGGCGCGGUUUGGUUUUGGGUUGUGAACUCCGUUUUGCAUCCGUACUUUCCGAUUAUUGAAGAGAGCGCGUUUGGGAGGUGGUUUUACGUGAAGGACACUUCUCAUAUACCUAAUGUGUUGAAGUUUGAGUAUGAUAUGGCCAGGGCUGAGAGACGGAAGGUGGCGUUGAAUUCUAAGUCGGAUUGAUUGGUAUGUUUGAACCUGCUUCAUGUUUAGGUUCGUAUAAUGUGAUUGAUGCAAGUUCUUAGGAUAGUUUUUGGGAAUUGUAAAAUCAGAAAAUUUGGUUUGGAAAUGUUUGUAGAGGGAAAAUUGUGGUGGUCUUGUUCUGUGAAUGCUAAGUGCAUGUUUGGAUUGAUGUUAGAAAUGUUGUUUGUGGAUGGGUUCCAAUGCAAAUUCAACGGAUAAAAACAAAAACAAGGGUCCUGAUCCUCUGGCAAAAUUACUUUUGCCUCAAACGUACUUUUUCACCUGAAAACUGAACAUGAGAAAUCAGAGGGGAAACUUGUGUUUGAUUAUAAUAUAUCACCCUAUAUGAUUUGAUUCCAUCAUGUUUGUGCGUUCAUAAUGGAAUUAAAUUCAAAUACCUUCUUUCACAAGUCUCAAGUGGGUGAUAGUGGUGUUUUUAGUGAGUGAUAUAAAUGUGUGUGUGUGUGUUUUCUUUUUGUGUUGAUUUGUUUUUGUAGGAUUGACUGAUCUUGUGAAUGCUGUGUAGUGUGUACAUUUUAAUUGGAGUAACUUUUAGUUGUCUGGACUCUGGAAUGGUAGAGGAAGUACUUGCAAUUGUAUUAUGCUUGUUUUUGGUCUGAAUAGAUAUGUUUCUAGUUGGUUAAGUAUGAUGUGAUCUGUAAACUGAGUAAAUCAUGGAUUAAUGUACCAAACCUGACAAAAUGAGGCUUGCAAAUCUUGUGAACUGAAGCUCAAGAUUAUUUGGUUACAAUCAUUCUUUAUGUUUAGUAUUGUGACACUGCCACACUGGGACCUUCUUCACUUCAUGUUAGACUCCUUGUUGAAACUCACUCCAUUUAUGAUAUAUCCUGAGCAUGUUUCUUAUUCACAUUUGUGAUAUGUAGUUUGUUAAAUACUUGUUAUGGCAUUCUUAUGUAAGAUGGAUAAAUUCCAUUGCAUAAGAUAGGAAAUCCAAGUGGUGGCUCUCAAUAAUGUUUUGUAUGAUAAUUGACCCAAGAAUAGGCACUUAGUUAGUUAGAAACUUAGAAAAGACUUGAUAACACUACAUUACUGUUGAUAUCUGUAUCAACAGCUAAAAGCAUGGAUGUGACAUGUUGCAAGUGACAGAUAUGAUACCUGACAAAGGGAUGCAGCAACUUUCAAAAUUUUUAAGACAGCAUGACUAAAAUACAUCAUAUACAAGUAAGUAACAUGAAAAGUUAAUCUUAAAUCCAAAGAGGGAAUUUAUGUUUUAAGAGUGAACACAAGUAAUCACUGACAUUAUGGAAUGCUAUAUUUUAUUUAAGUGCUGUGGUAUUCUUAUUUGUGUUCAUAUAAAAGUUUAAAAAGAAAUUUAAAAUAAUGGUAAGAUGCAGUUAGUAAUAUUCAAAUGCACUUUUGGUUUAAAGGAGGAGAAUCGAGGAACUUUAUUUCAAGGGAGAAGCACCUUGUUUGUUUCACAAGGGAAAGGGGGAAGGGGGGGAUUUUAACCCCCUCCCCUUCCCAUCCAUUUCCCUCCAACUAAACACUGGAAAUGUUAGUGAAGUACCCCACACAGCUAUGACAUGGUUACUAUUUUGAAGUGUUUGUGCUUCCUUGAUUCAGCUAUUAGUUAGUUAGCUAGAACAGUGGACAAUACUAGAGGAGAGCUUUUAGAUUUCCUGUAGGGAUUGGGGGAAAGAGCCAGGACUCUCAAAUUUGCGAGGACUGUGGUAUACACUUGAGAUUCCUGUACUACUUGUACUAUAUACUAGAGUCUACAAUCACAUCUGGUUCAGAUUCAGGGAGAAGAGUGAUAUUGAUAAAGGUUAUUUUUUACUCUGUUUUUCUACUUUCCCCCUUCCAGUUCUAUAAUCUAUUCUAACAAGUCAUGAUCCGUGCAUACUGUCUUCCUUUCUAAUAUUAGCCUCAACUAUUCAAAGUCAGCAGCCUGUCCUAUUAACUAUGAUAGACUGCUGAUCAGACUGAAGUGCUGAAUUGAGGAGGCAUACAUAUUUCAGGGUUUAGAAUCUUGAUGGUGGCAUGUAAUUGUUUCUUAGCUUAGGCAAGUGUUACACCCUGGAGAAAAAAAGGGGUAAGGGAUUGUGGAGGUAUAUUUAGGUUGACUAUAAUAGUUAUUCUUUAUUCAAUGUUGUUCCUUCUGCACCACUUUCAUGGUAUUCAUGUUAAAACAUGGUUAAGAUAUCACCCAGGCUGCUCUUAAUAUUCAAUUCAUACGAAUAUAAGGAACCUGAUCUUCAGUGUGCUUAGUCUUAGGCUGAUACCGAAAGCCCAGUUUUAUUUUUUAUUGUAAUAUUUUGGGUUUUAGGUCUAUUUCCUUUCCGUUCUAUUUUCAUAUGGGUAAGUAAAGGCUUAUUUAUGUUCUAAUUUUUUAAGACGAUAAAAGAUGGUUGAUUCAGGGGAAAAUUUUAUCUGUAUUUGCCGCUACGAAAGAAAAUGUCAAUCUAUUCACAAAAAGUAUAUCUACAUUUAUCAAUUCUUCCACUUUCUCAUUUUUAGUAGGUUUUGAAAAGCUCAAGUUUGGAACAACCUAAGAAUUCUGUUAAUAAAGACUUUCUCGUUCAAGCAAGACAACAUAGAUAAAACAUCAAUUUUAUAUAUAUGCUAAUGCUAGUCCCACCCAGUGCCAUCCAUUUUAUUAUACUUUCUGGCCUAUAUAUCUCUGUUGUAAUAAUCCAUCCUGACAGCAGCAAUAGUUAUAGGAUUGCAAAAUUAUAUCUUCCUUUGAAUGCUAACUUGCCUGGACAUUUUCCUUUGGGAUUUGUUGUUUCCUCAACUAUUAUUGUCAUUAAUGUAUUCAUUUGAAGGCAUUGUGAGUCAUGUGCAUUGGGUCUGUUUAAUUUAAUAUUCACCAUAUUGAGUUUCUAAUAUAUGCAAACGGUGGAAAUAUAAAAUUAUAACUACAAGGUUCACAUAUGCUUUGGUAUGUUUUGGUGUAGCUGACCUUGCUCUUUUUCCGUUUUCCAGGCACAUUGCUUCGAAUUUUUCUUCUAGGAUUUGUAUUCACAAGUAUUUAUGGCAGUAUUACUAUAGCUUUAUUUUGUGGAGCUUUCCACUAUAGAAGCCAACUGGCUGAGCCACUCAGGUAUAAAUGGCAUCUAUGAAGAGAGCAGCAGAGCACACUGACAUGGUACUACGGACCUAUGAUGCCUGUGAAAUAGAACUGAUGUAUGAAUAGAUGGCUACCUGAUGUUAUAGAUAGACAUGAAUAUUUUAUCUUGUUUUCUUACAUGGGUUUUAGACAACAUACAUUGACACAAAUACAACCAAGGGAUUGUUCAAAUCAUU
rnacentral:lncRNA from 1 species